rnacentral:rRNA from 1 species
UACGAAGGAUGCGAGCGUUAUCCGGAUUUAUUGGGUUUAAAGGGAGCGUAGGCGGUCUUAUAAGUCAGUGGUGAAAUCUCGUUGCUUAACAACGAACGUGCCAUUGAUACUGUAGGACUUGAGUACAGUUGCCGUUGGCGGAAUGUGUCAUGUAGCGGUGAAAUGCAUAGAUAUGACACAGAACACCGAUUGCGAAGGCAGCUGACGAGGCUGUAACUGACGCUGAUGCACGAAAGUGUGGGGAUCAAACAGG